rnacentral:tRNA from 1 species
CGAGGUGUAGCGCAGCUGGUAGCGCGCCUGUUUUGGGAGCAGGAUGCCGCAGGUUCAAGUCCUGUCACCUCGACCA